AAUGAACGUUAGCGGCGCGCCUGAUGCAUGCAAGUCGAACGGUCUAUUGUUUCGCAAGGGGGUAAUAGAUAGUGGCGAACGGCUGAGUAACGCGUAAGUAACCUACCUCUAAGUGGGGAAUAACCUGUCGAAAGGCAAGUUAAUACCGCAUGUGCUAACUUGUGAAAACUUGGUAGUAAAGCCUUCGGGCGCUUGGAGACGGGCUUGCGUCUGAUUAGCUAGUUGGUUGGGGUAAUGGCCUACCAAGGCGAUGAUCAGUAGCUGGUCUGAGAGGACGACCAGCCAGACAGGGACUGAGACACGGCCCUGACUCCUACGGGAGGCAGCAGCAAGGAAUUUUGCGCAAUGGGCGAAAGCCUGACGCAGCGACGACGCGUGAGGGAUGAAGGCCUUCGGGUUGUAAACCUCUUUUCUUGAGGAAGAAUUAUGACGGUACUCAGGGAAUAAGUCUUGGCUAACUACGUGCCAGCAGCCGCCGUAA
rnacentral:rRNA from 1 species